rnacentral:rRNA from 1 species
GACGAACGCUGGCGGCGUGCCUAAUACAUGCAAGUCGAACGCAGUGGGGACGGGUGAGUAACACGUGGGUAACCCCCCAUCAGAGCGGAUAACACUUGGAAACAGGUGCUAAACCGAUACUGAUGGAUGGCCCCGCGGUGCAUUAGCUAGUUGGUGAGGUAACGGCUCACCAAGGCCACGAUGCAUAGCGCGCCUGAGAGGGUGAUCGGCCACACUGGGACUGAGACACCGCCCAGACUCCUACGGGAUGCAGCAGUAGGGGAUCGUCGGCGAUGGAAGAAAGUCUGACCGAGCAACGCCGCGUGAGUGAAGAAGGUUUUCGGAUCGGAAGACGCUGUUGUUAGAUGAGCGGUAUCUAACCAGAAAUCCACGGCUAACUACGUGCCAGCAGCCGCGGUAAUAC